GCGUAGGUAGUGCAACUGGUUAGCACGCACCCCCGGAUAGAGUGACAUGCGAGUUCGAUUCUUGUCUAACGUU